rnacentral:rRNA from 1 species
AGUGAACGCUGGCGGUAGGCCUAACACAUGCAAGUCGAACGGCAGCACAGUAAGAGCUUGCUCUUACGGGUGGCGAGUGGCGGACGGGUGAGGAAUACAUCGGAAUCUACUUUUUCGUGGGGGAUAACGUAGGGAAACUUACGCUAAUACCGCAUACGACCUACGGGUGAAAGCAGGGGAUCUUCGGAUCUUGCGCGAUUGAAUGAGCCGAUGUCGGAUUAGCUAGUUGGCGGGGUAAAGGCCCACCAAGGCGACGAUCCGUAGCUGGUCUGAGAGGAUGAUCAGCCACACUGGAACUGAGACACGGUCCAGACUCCUACGGGAGGCAGCAGUGGGGAAUAUUGGACAAUGGGCGCAAGCCUGAUCCAGCCAUACCGCGUGGGUGAAGAAGGCCUUCGGGUUUUAAAGCCCUUUUGUUGGGAAAGAAAAGCAGCAGGUUAAUACCCCGCUGUUCUGACGGUACCCAAAGAAUAAGCACCGGCUAACUUCGUG